rnacentral:rRNA from 1 species
AGAGUUUGAUCAUGGCUCAGGAUGAACGCUAGCUACAGGCUUAACACAUGCAAGUCGAGGGGCAGCAUGUUGGUUGCUUGCAACCAACGAUGGCGACCGGCGCACGGGUGAGUAACGCGUAUCCAACCUACCCUUGUCCAUCGGAUAACCCGUCGAAAGGCGGCCUAACACGAUAUGCGGUUCACAGCAGGCAUCUAACGUGAACGAAAUGUGAAGGAGAAGGGAUGGGGAUGCGUCUGAUUAGCUUGUUGGGCGGGGUAACGGCCACCAAGGCUACGAUCGAGUAGGGGUUCUGAGAGGAAGGUCCCCACAUUGGAACUGAGACACGGUCCAAACUCCUACGGGAGGCA